rnacentral:rRNA from 1 species
GUUGAACGCUGGCGGCAUGCCUUACACAUGCAAGUCGAACGGCAGCGCGGGGCAACCUGGCGGCGAGUGGCGAACGGGUGAGUAAUAUAUCGGAACGUACCCUGGAGUGGGGGAUAACGUAGCGAAAGUUACGCUAAUACCGCAUACGAUCUAAGGAUGAAAGUGGGGGAUCGCAAGACCUCAUGCUCCUGGAGCGGCCGAUAUCUGAUUAGCUAGUUGGUGGGGUAAAGGCCUACCAAGGCAUCGAUCAGUAGCUGGUCUGAGAGGACGACCAGCCCCACUGGAACUGAGACACGGUCCAGACUCCUACGGGAGGCAGCAGUGGGGAAUUUUGGACAAUGGGCGCAAGCCUGAUCCAGCAAUGCCGCGUGAGUGAAGAAGGCCUUCGGGUUGUAAAGCUCUUUUGUCAGGGAAGAAACGGUGAGAGCUAAUAUCUCUUGCUAAUGACGGUACCUGAAGAAUAAGCACCGGCUAACUACGUGCCAGCCGCCGCCGUAACAC